rnacentral:lncRNA from 1 species
UCUGCUCCUAACAGAAUUGUAGAGGUGUAGAGGAGUUGUUGAGGGGCUUUUCCUUUCAUCAGAUCUCAAAUGACCAGAUCUUCAUUUGUGUCCGGAUGAGGUUCUCCUCCUGUUUUCGACACAAUCAAUUUCAGCUCAUGUUAGGACGAGGUCUUCCUCCUACUCCUAACAGGGCUGCGGGGGCACAUAAGGGCUGUUGCAAAGGCCUCUCCUCCCAUC